UGGAGCACAGCUGUUUCUUUAUCUCAACUGUCUUCUCUUUCUCCCUUCUCCCUCCCUGCAGCUGUCCAUGUUGUUUGUUGUCACCUCCACUGUAGUGUCAGUGCCAGUGUACAGCAGAGGGGGACCUCAUCUCUGAACCAUGCUGGGUUAGGAGGUGGGAGCCAGCACUUUUCUUCCAGCAGAUUCCAUCCAACCUUGACCUCCACCAUCCAGAUCUGCAGGUGCAAGUCGAUUUGGAAUCUUGUAAUGAAGCACACACACAAAAACGCAGAUGGGGGCUCCUCGGAACUUCUUCUCAGGUACGUUUUUCUUUUAAAGGUGCAAAAGAAAGUUAUAAAAAUAAGAAAAACCAAAAGAGAAAAAAAAAAACCACACCCCCCCCCCCCCCCCCCCCCCCCCCCCCCCCCCCCCCCCCCCCCCCCCCCCCCCCCCCCCCCCCCCCCCCCCCCCCCCCCCCCCCCCCCCCCCCCCCCCCCCCCCCCCCC
rnacentral:lncRNA from 1 species